rnacentral:rRNA from 1 species
GAUGAACGCUGGCGGCGUGCCUAAUACAUGCAAGUCGAGCGAACAGACGAGGAGCUUACUCCUCUGACGUUAGCGGCGGACGGGUGAGUAACACGUGGAUAACCUACCUAUAAGACUGGGAUAACUUCGGGAAACCGGAGCUAAUACCGGAUAACAUGUUGAACCGCAUGGUUCAACAGUGAAAGACGGUCUUGCUGUCACUUAUAGAUGGAUCCGCGUCGCAUUAGCUAGUUGGUAAGGUAACGGCUUACCAAGGCAACGAUGCGUAGCCGACCUGAGAGGGUGAUGGGCCACACUGGAACUGAGACACGGUACAGACUCCUACGGGAGGCAGCAGUAGGGAAUCUUCCGCAAUGGGCGAAAGCCUGACGGAGCAACGCCGCGUGAGUGAAGAAGUUCUUCGGAUCGUAAAACUCUGUUAUUAGGGAAGAACAAAUGUGUAAGUAACUAUGCACGUCUUGACGGUACCUAAUCAGAAAGCCACGGCUAACUACGUG